GAUGAACGCUGGCGGCGUGCUUAACACAUGCAAGUCGAACGGAAAGGCCCAAGCUUGCUUGGGUACUCGAGUGGCGAACGGGUGAGCAACACGUGGGUGAUCUGCCCUGCACUUCGGGAUAAGCCUGGGAAACUGGGUCUAAUACCGGAUAGGACCACAUUUUGGAUGGUGUGGUGGAAAGUUUUUCGGUGUGGGAUGAGCUCGCGGCCUAUCAGCUUGUUGGUGGGGUAAUGGCCUACCAAGGCGUCGACGGGUAGCCGGCCUGAGAGGGUGUACGGCCACAUUGGGACUGAGAUACGGCCCAGACUCCUACGGGAGGCAGCAGUGGGGAAUAUUGCACAAUGGGCGCAAGCCUGAUGCAGCGACGCCGCGUGGGGGAUGACGGCCUUCGGGUUGUAAACUCCUUUCGCUAGGGACGAAGCGCAAGUGACGGUACCUGGAGAAGAAGCACCGGCUAACUACGUG
rnacentral:rRNA from 1 species